rnacentral:rRNA from 1 species
GAUGAACGCUGGCGGCGUGCCUAAUACAUGCAAGUCGAGCGAAUGGAUUAAGAGCUUGCUCUUAUGAAGUUAGCGGCGGACGGGUGAGUAACACGUGGGUAACCUGCCCAUAAGACUGGGAUAACUCCGGGAAACCGGGGCUAGUACCGGAUAAUAUUUUGAACUGCAUGGUUCAAAAUUGAAAGGCGGCUUCGGCUGUCACUUAUGGAUGGACCCGCGUCGCAUUAGCUAGUUGGUGAGGUAACGGCUCACCAAGGCAACGAUGCGUAGCCGACCUGAGAGGGUGAGCGGCAACACUGGGACUGAGACACGGCCCAGACUCCUACGGGAGGCAGCAGUAGGGAAUCUUCCGCAAUGGACGAAAGUCUGACGGAGCAACGCCGCGUGAGUGAUGAAGGCUUUCGGGUCGUAAAACUCUGUUGUUAGGGAAGAACAAGUGCUAGUUGAAUAAGCUGGCACCUUGACGGUACCUAACCAGAAAGCCACGGCUAACUACGUGCCAGCCGCCGCGGUAA